rnacentral:rRNA from 1 species
CCUGGCUCAGAAUCAACGCUGGCGGCGUGCNUAACACAAGCAAGUCGAACGCGAAAGCCCCGCAAGGGGCAAGUAGAGUGGCAGACGGGUGAGUAACACGUGGGUGACCUGCCUUCGAGCGGGGGAUAACGUCCCGAAAGGGACGCUAAUACCGCAUAACAUCCUGCCUUUGAAGAGGUGGAGAUCAAAGCUGGGGAUCGCAAGACCCGGCACUUGAAGAGGGGCCCGCGUCUGAUUAGCUAGUUGGUGGGGUAACGGCCUACCAAGGCAACGAUCAGUAUCCGGCCUGAGAGGGCGGACGGACACACUGGGACUGAGACACGGCCCAGACUCCUACGGGAGGCAGCAGUGGGGAAUUGUUCGCAAUGGGCGCAAGCCUNANGACGCAACGCCGCGCGGAGGAUGAAGAUUUUNANAUCGUAAACUCCUGUCGAAUGGGACGAACAGAUUGCGGGUGAACAGGCCGUAGUCC